UAGGGAAUAUUAGUAAUGGGCGAAAGCCUGAACUAGCAACGCCGCGUGUGCGUAGGAGGCCUUCUGGUUUUAAAGCACUUUUUGAGAGGAUGAGGAAGGACGGUUCUCUCAGAAUAAGUCUCGUCUAACUACUUGCCAGCAGCCCCGGUAACACGUAGGAGGCGAACGUUAUCCCGAUUUUCUUGGCGUAAAGCGCGUGUAGGUGGUUUGUUAAGUAGGGCGUGAAAGCUCCUGGCUCAACUGGGAGAGGCCGUUCUAAACUGCAGAACUAGAGGAUGGUAGAGGGAGGUGGAAUUACGGGUGUAGAGGUGGAAUGC
rnacentral:rRNA from 1 species